GAUCGCAAGACCUUGCGCUAAAGGAGCGGCCGAUGUCUGAUUAGUUAGUUGGUGGGGUAAAGGCCUUCCAAGGCAACGAUCAGUAGCUGGUCUGAGAGGACGAUCAGCCACACUGGGACUGAGACACGGCCCAGACUCCUACGGGAGGCAGCAGUGGGGAAUUUUGGACAAUGGGCGAAAGCCUGAUCCAGCCAUGCCGCGUGAAUGAAGAAGGCCUUCGGGUUGUAAAGUUCUUUUAGUUGGAAAGAAAAAAUUAUGAUGAAUAAUCAUAAUUCAUGACGGUACCGACAGAAAAAGCACCGGCUAACUACGUGCCAGCAGCCGCGGUAAUACGUAGGGUGCAAGCGUUAAUCGGAAUUACUGGGCGUAAAGGGUGUGCAGGCGGCCUUGUAAGUCAGAUGUGAAAGCCCCGGGCUUAACCUGGGAAUUGCGUUUGAAACUACAAAGCUAG
rnacentral:rRNA from 1 species